UACGGAGGAUCCGAGCGUUAUCCGGAUUUAUUGGGUUUAAAGGGUGCGUAGGCGGAUAGUACAGUCAGGCGUGAAAUUCCUGGGCUCAACCUGGGGGCUGCGUUUGAUACGUAUUGUCUGGAGUUCGGAAGAGGGUCGUGGAAUUCCCAGUGUAGAGGUGAAAUUCGUAGAUAUUGGGAAGAACACCGGUGGCGAAGGCGGCGACCUGGUCCGAUACUGACGCUGAGGCGCGAAAGCGUGGGGAGCAAACAGG
rnacentral:rRNA from 1 species